AGUUACCAGCACGUUAUGGUGGGCGACUCUAAGGAGGACUGCCGGUGGACAAACCGGAGGAAGGUGGGGAUGACGUCAAGUCAUCAUGGCCCUUACGGCCUGGGCUACACACGUGCUACAAUGGUCGGUACAAAGGGUUGCCAAGCCGCGAGGUGGAGCUAAUCCCAUAAAACCGAUCGUAGUCCGGAUCGCAGUCUGCAACUCGACUGCGUGAGGUCGGAAUCGCUAGUAAUCGUGAAUCAGAAUGUCACGGUGAAUACGUUCCCGGGCCUU
rnacentral:rRNA from 1 species